GAUGAACGCUGGCGGCGUGCCUAAUACAUGCAAGUCGAGCGAAGAGGGGAAGGGUGAGUAACACGUGGAUAACCUCCUAUACGAAUGGGAUAACUUCGGGAAACCGGAGCUAAAACGGAUAAUUAUAAAUGGAUACGCGCUGCAUUAGCUAGUUGGUCAGGUAACGGCUUACCAAGGCAACGCUGCAUAGACGACCUUACAGUGUGAGCGGCCACACUGGAACUGAGACACGGUCCAGACUCCUACGGGAGGCAGCAGUAGGGAAUCGUCCGCAAUGGGCGAAAGCCUGACGGAGCAACGCCGCUUGAGUGAUGAAGGUCUUCGGAUCGUAAAACUCUGUUAUUAGGUAAGCGGUACCUAAUCAGAAAGCCACGGCUAACUACGUGCCAGCAGCCGCGGUAAUUC
rnacentral:rRNA from 1 species